rnacentral:rRNA from 1 species
UUACCCGCUGAAAAUUAAGCAUAUCAAUAAGCGGAGGAAAAGAAACCAACAGGGAUUGCCUCAGUAACGGCGAGUGAAGCGGCAACAGCUCAAAUUUGAAAUCUGUCCCUUUCAGGGUCCGAGUUGUAAUUUGUAGAGGGUGCUUUGGCGUCGGCCGUGGUCUAAGUUCCUUGGAACAGGACGUCACAGAGGGUGAGAAUCCCGUACGUGGCCGCCGGUCUUCGCCGUGUAAAGCCCCUUCGACGAGUCGAGUUGUUUGGGAAUGCAGCUCUAAAUGGGAGAUAAAUUUCUUCUAAAGCUAAAUAUUGGCCAGAGACCGAUAGCGCACAAGUAGAGUGAUCGAAAGAUGAAAAGCACUUUGGAAAGAGAGUCAAAAAGCACGUGAAAUUGUUGAAAGGGAAGCGCUUGCAGCCAGACGUGCCCGCAGUUGCUCACCCGGGCUCUCGCCCGGGGCAUUCUUCUGCGGGCAGGCCAGCAUCAGUUCGGGCGGUUGGAUAAAGGCCUCUAUCACGUAUCUUCCUUCGGGAUGACCUUAUAGGGGAGGCGCAACACGACCAGCCUGAACUGAGGACCGCGCAUCAGCUAGGAUGCUGGCGUAAUGGCUGUAAGCGGCCCGUCUUGAAACACGGACCAAGGAGUCUAACAUCUAUGCGAGUGUUUGGGUGUCAAGCCCGGGCGCGCAAUGAAAGUGAACGGAGGUGGGAACCCCUCGGGGUGCACCAUCGACCGAUCCUGAAGUCUUCGGAUGGAUUUGAGUAAGAGCAUAGCUGUUGGGACCCGAAAGAUGGUGAACUAUGCCUGAAUAGGGUGAAGCCAGGGGAAACCCUGGUGGAGGCUCGCAGCGGUUCUGACGUGCAAAUCGAUCGUCAAAUUUGGGCAUAGGGGCGAAAGACUAAUCGAACCAUCUAGUAGCUGGUUCCUGCCGAAGUUCCCCUUCAGGAAA